AUUCAAUCUAUAGAUCACGAUAGAUAGGUAGGUAGUCAUAUUCAGUUAAAAUCCCAUUUCAAAUUUCAAAAUUCGAUCCUUUGAUCUUAUCAAAGACAUAAAUUCAUAAAUACCUUUCUAUAUAUAAUAUUAUAAUUCCCCUUCUAAUACUAUUCAGAUUCAGGUUGAACUAUUUACAAGAAGAUCCUGUAUGGAGCGCGGUACCAGAUCGGGUUUCUUAUAAAUUUUAAUCAACUCAUCCAUCAGCACAAGGCGCUGAAUGCCGAAAGAUGAACAAUUAAAGAAUAUGUGAGACAGAGAUUGCUCUGUCUGAGAAUUACAGUGGUCGCAUAAAGGACUUUGUACAAUUUUAAAUCGAAAAAGAUGAUAAUUUAAAAGACAAUGACCGAAACGAAGCCUCAAAAUAAUGGUGUAAAAUUUUCUGCUAAUAAAUAAACGACUUCUGCAAAACCAAGGAAAUUUACUGAUAAAAUCUCCUGAUAACAUGGAAGGGAAGAUGAUUUAUGAAUUUGUAGAGUUUCAAGAAAACUAAUAUACUGUGGGAAGCCUUGGAGAAUAUAGAGAGCAUUAUGCGAAGAUAAUCUAGAGUGGCAUAAAUAACCAGGUCAUCAGCAAAUUGAAGAUUUUUAACUUCGGAAC